GCAGCUGUUGUUGCAGCUGUUGUUGCAGCUGUUGUUGCUGCUGCUGUUGCUGCUGCUGCUGCUGCUGCUGCUGCUGCUGCUGCUGCUGC